rnacentral:rRNA from 1 species
GACGUAGGGCGCGAGCGUUGUCCGGAUUUAUUGGGCGUAAAGAGCUCGUAGGCGGCUCGUCGCGUCGUCCGUGAAAACUUGGGGCUCAACCCCAAGCUUGCGGUCGAUACGGGCAGGCUCGAGUUCGGUAGGGGAGACUGGAAUUCCUGGUGUAGCGGUGAAAUGCGUAGAGAUCCGGAGGAAUACCAGAGGCGAAGGCGGCAUCCUGGCCUAAAACUGACACUGAGACGCGAAAGCAUGGGGAGCGAACGGG